rnacentral:rRNA from 1 species
GUUUCAGCAGCCGCGGUAAUACAGAGGUCUCAAGCGUUGUUCGGAUUCAUUGGGCGUAAAGGGUGCGUAGGUGGCGGGGUAAGUCAGGUGUGAAAUCUCGAGGCUCAACCUCGAAACUGCACUUGAUACUGCCUUGCUAGAGUACUGGAGAGGAGAUUGGAAUUUACGGUGUAGCAGUGAAAUGCGUAGAUAUCGUAAGGAAGACCAGUGGCGAAGGCGAAUCUCUGGACAGUUACUGACACUGAGGCACGAAGGCCAGGGGAGCAAACGGGAUUAGAAACCCCAGUAGUCC